rnacentral:rRNA from 1 species
AUUGAACGCUGGCGGCAGGCUUAACACAUGCAAGUCGAGCGGGGUGAUGGUGCUUGCACUAUCACUUAGCGGCGGACGGGUGAGUAAUGCUUAGGAAUCUGCCUAUUAGUGGGGGACAACAUCUCGAAAGGGAUGCUAAUACCGCAUACGUCCUACGGGAGAAAGCAGGGGAUCACUUGUGACCUUGCGCUAAUAGAUGAGCAUAAGUCGGAUUAGCGAGUUGGUGGGGUAAAGGCCUACCAAGGCGACGAUCUGUAGCGGGUCUGAGAGGAUGAUCCGCCACACUGGGACUGAGACACGGCCCAGACUCCUACGGGAGGCAGCAGUGGGGAAUAUUGGACUAUGGGGGGAACCCUGAUCCAGCCAUGCCGCGUGUGUGAAGAAGGCCUUAUGGUUGUAAAGCACUUUAAGCGAGGAGGAGGCUCUUUUGGUUAAUACCCAAGAUGAGUGGACGUUACUCGCAGAAUAAGCACCGGCUAACUCUGUGCCAGCCGCCGCAGUAA